CACAAAAGGAGGGAGGGAGAAAGCGAGAGCCAGAACUUCCUCCACCUUCGGGAGCACCAGGCGGAGUGGUGGGGGGGUUGUAGGGAGUGGUGGGGGGCUCGUAGGGGAGACGGAGGAGCCGGGUGAGAGGGGGCGCCCACUGCCCGCCCCCUAUUCGGCUCCGCUUGCCAACCCUCUCCCGGUGUGUCUGUCGGUUGCAGUGUCGGAGAUUGGCGCGGGCCCCCGCCCUCCGCGCCCCCCACGGGAAGGAAGCACCCCCCUAACUAAAAAGAGCGGAGCGGAAAGAAGCUCUCAUUCGCCGGCCAGGAGGCGAGCCGAUGCCGAGCUGCACCGCGUCCACCAUG
rnacentral:other from 1 species